CGAAUUCGAAUAAGCGGCGGCUGCUUACCAUGCAGUCGAACGGUAACAGGUCUUCGGACGCUGACGAGUGGCGAACGGGUGAGUAAUACAUCGGAACGUGCCCAGUCGUGGGGGAUAACUACUCGAAAGAGUAGCUAAUACCGCAUACGAUCUGAGGAUGAAAGCGGGGGACCUUCGGGCCUCGCGCGAUUGGAGCGGCCGAUGGCAGAUUAGGUAGUUGGUGGGAUAAAAGCUUACCAAGCCGACGAUCUGUAGCUGGUCUGAGAGGACGACCAGCCACACUGGGACUGAGACACGGUCCAGACUCCUACGGGAGGCAGCAGUGGGGAAUAUUGGACAAUGGGCGCAAGCCUGAUCCAGCCAUACCGCGUGGGUGAAGAAGGCCUUCGGGUUGUAAAACCCUUUUGUUGGGAAAGAAAUCCAGCCGGCUAAUACCUGGCUGGGAUGACGGUACCCAAAGAAUAAGCACCGGCUAACUUCGUGCCAGCAGCCGCGGUAAUACGAAGGGUGCAAGCGUUACUCGGAAUUACUGGGCGUAAAGCGUGCGUAGGUGGUCGUUUAAGUCUGUUGUGAAAGCCCUGGGCUCAACCUGGGAACUGCAGUGGAAACUGGACGACUAGAGUGUGGUAGAGGGUAGCGGAAUUCCUGGUGUAGCAGUGAAAUGCGUAGAGAUCAGGAGGAACAUCCAUGGCGAAGGCAGCUACCUGGACCAACACUGACACUGAGGCACGAAAGCGUGGGGAGCAAACAGGAUUAGAUACCCUGGUAGUCCACGCCCUAAACGAUGCGAACUGGAUGUUGGGUGCAAUUUGGCACGCAGUAUCGAAGCUAACGCGUUAAGUUCGCGCCUGGGGAGUACGUCGCAGACUGAACUCAAAGGAAUUGACGGGGGCCCGCACAAGCCGUGGGAGUAUGUGGG
rnacentral:rRNA from 1 species